GGGGGUAUUCCAGAAAGCAGGUUAUGUGACAUACCUGGGUAUGUUUAAGGGUAAUAUGUGAGGCAACCCAAAUCAUUACCAAUGUCGAGGCAAAAUGGCCAGGAUCUGUGCAUGAUGCCAGAAUUUUCCAUGAGUCAUCAUUAUGCCAGACAUUUCAGCAGGGUAUGUUUUGCUUUAUACAAUUGUUUUUUUUUUCCUUUUUACAUUCUAUUUGUGUUGUACACUUCAAUCAUUACAGGACAGUACAAUGGUUACUUGCUGGGGGACAGAGGAUACCCUUGUCUGCCCUAUUUAAUGACACCCUACCCUGAACCUGGACCACAGACACGGUUUAACCUGGCUCACAGCUGAACACAGGCCAAGGUGGAGAUGACUAUAGGGAUCCUCAAAUCUCGGUUUCAGUGUCUGCGUGGGCUCCGGGUUAGUCCAGAGAGGGCAUGCGACAUUUUAGUGGCUUGUGUUGUGCUUCACAAUAUUGCCACUAUAA